rnacentral:rRNA from 1 species
CCUACGGGAGGCAGCAGUGAGGAAUAUUGGUCAAUGGGCGCGAGCCUGAACCAGCCAAGUCGCGUGAGGGAGGACGGCCCUACGGGUUGUAAACCUCUUUUGCCGGGGAGCAACGGGCGCCACGUGUGGCGUCACUGAGAGUACCCGGAGAAAAAGCAUCGGCUACCUCCGUGCCAGCAGCCGCGGUAAUACGGAGGAUGCGAGCGUUAUCCGGAUUUAUUGGGUUUAAAGGGAGCGUAGAUGGGUUGUUAAGUCAGUUGUGAAAGUUUGCGGCUCAACCGUAAAAUUGCAAUUGAUACUGGCAGUCUUGAGUACAGUUGAGGUAGGCGGAAUGCGUGGUGUAGCGGUGAAAUGCAUAGAUAUCACGCAGAACUCCGAUUGCGAAGGCAGCAUACCGGCGCCCGACUGACGCUGAGGCACGAAAGCGUGGGGAUCGAACAGGAUUAGAUACCCCUGUAGUC